rnacentral:rRNA from 1 species
AUUGAACGCUGGCGGCAGGCCUAACACAUGCAAGUCGAACGGUAACAGGAAACAGCUUGCUGUUUCGCUGACGAGUGGCGGACGGGUGAGUAAUGUCUGGGAAACUGCCUGAUGGAGGGGGAUAACUACUGGAAACGGUAGCUAAUACCGCAUAACGUCGCAAGACCAAAGAGGGGGACCCUCGGGCCUCUUGCCAUCGGAUGUGCCCAGAUGGGAUUAGCUUGUUGGUGGGGUAACGGCUCACCAAGGCGACGAUCCCUAGCUGGUCUGAGAGGAUGACCAGCCACACUGGAACUGAGACACGGUCCAGACUCCUACGGGAGGCAGCAGUGGGGAAUAUUGCACAAUGGGCGCAAGCCUGAUGCAGCCAUGCCGCGUGUAUGAAGAAGGCCUUCGGGUUGUAAAGUACUUUCAGCGGGGAGGAAGGGAGUAAAGUUAAUACCUUUGCUCAUUGACGUUACCCGCAGAAGAAGCACCGGCUAACUCCGUGCCAGCAGCCGCGGUAAUACGGAGGGUGCAAGCGUUAAUCGGAAUUACUGGGCGUAAAGCGCACGCAGGCGGUUUGUUAAGUCAGAUGUGAAAUCCCCGGGCUCAACCUGGUAACUGCAUCUGAUACUGGCAAGCUUGAGUCUCGUAGAGGGGGGUAGAAUUCCAGGUGUAGCGGUGAAAUGCGUAGAGAUCUGGAGGAAUACCGGUGGCGAAGGCGGCCCCCUGGACGAAGACUGACGCUCAGGUGCGAAAGCGUGGGGAGCAAACAGGAUUAGAUACCCUGGUAGUCCACGCCGUAAACGAUGUCGACUUGGAGGUUGUGCCCUUGAGGCGUGGCUUCCGGAGCUAACGCGUUAAGUCGACCGCCUGGGGAGUACGGCCGCAAGGUUAAAACUCAAAUGAAUUGACGGGGGCCCGCACAAGCGGUGGAGCAUGUGGUUUAAUUCGAUGCAACGCGAAGAACCUUACCUGGUCUUGACAUCCACGGAAGUUUUCAGAGAUGAGAAUGUGCCUUCGGGAACCGUGAGACAGGUGCUGCAUGGCUGUCGUCAGCUCGUGUUGUGAAAUGUUGGGUUAAGUCCCGCAACGAGCGCAACCCUUAUCCUUUGUUGCCAGCGGUCCGGCCGGGAACUCAAAGGAGACUGCCAGUGAUAAACUGGAGGAAGGUGGGGAUGACGUCAAGUCAUCAUGGCCCUUACGACCAGGGCUACACACGUGCUACAAUGGCGCAUACAAAGAGAAGCGACCUCGCGAGAGCAAGCGGACCUCAUAAAGUGCGUCGUAGUCCGGAUUGGAGUCUGCAACUCGACUCCAUGAAGUCGGAAUCGCUAGUAAUCGUGGAUCAGAAUGCCACGGUGAAUACGUUCCCGGGCCU